AGUUCGGAUUGAAGGCUGAAAUUCGCCUUCAUGAAGCCGGAAUCGCUAGUAAUGGCAGGUCAGCAUACUGCCGUGAAUACGUUCCCGGGCCUUGUACACACCGCCCGUCACACCAUGAGAGUUGGGAAUACCCGAAGCCUGUGAGCUAACUUUUAGAGGCAGCAGUCGAAGGUAGAAUCAAUGAUUGGGGUGAAGUCGUAACAAGGUACC
rnacentral:rRNA from 1 species